rnacentral:rRNA from 1 species
UACGUAGGCAGCGAGCGUUGUUCGGAGUUACUGGGCGUAAAGGGUGUGUAGGCGGUUGUUUAAGUUUGGUGUGAAAUCUCCCGGCUCAACUGGGAGGUGCGCCGAAUACUGAAUGACUAGAGUGCGGGAGAGGAAAGUGGAAUUCCUGGUGUAGCGGUGAAAUGCGUAGAUAUCAGGAGGAACACCGGUGGCGAAGGCGGAUCUCUGGGCCAAUAACUGACGCUGAGGAGCGAAAGCAUGGGGAGCGAACAGG